rnacentral:rRNA from 1 species
AAGAUGGCGACCGGCGCACGGGUGAGUAACACGUAUCCAACCUGCCGAUAACUCCGGAAUAGCCUUUCGAAAGAAAGAUUAAUACCGGAUAGUAUACGAAUAUCGCAUGAUAUUUUUAUUUAAAGAAUUUCGAUUAUCGAUGGGGAUGCGUUCCAUUAGUUUGUUGGCGGGGUAACGGCCCACCAAGACUACGAUGGAUAGGGGUUCUGAGAGGAAGGUCCCCCACAUUGGAACUGAGACACGGUCCAA